rnacentral:sRNA from 1 species
GUUUGGUUGUGCGUGAGGGAUAGAGGCGGUAUCCUUUUUUGCCACUUUGUGUGGCAAAAAAGAUAUAGCCGAAAGCCCGACCCGUA